rnacentral:rRNA from 1 species
UACGUAGGGUGCAAGCGUUGUCCGGAAUUAUUGGGCGUAAAGAGCUCGUAGGCGGUCUGUUGCGUCGGCUGUGAAAACCCGGGGCUCAACCCCGGGCCUGCAGCCGAUACGGGCAGACUAGAGUUCGGCAGGGGAGACUGGAAUUCCUGGUGUAGCGGUGAAAUGCGCAGAUAUCAGGAGGAACACCGGUGGCGAAGGCGGGUCUCUGGGCCGAUACUGACGCUGAGGAGCGAAAGCGUGGGGAGCGAACAGG